AAGAGAGACAGAAGGUACAUCUGGGUGGAGGUAUGAAAAGAAAUAAAGAGAGAGAAAGAACAGAGAAAGACCCUAAGGGUGUGUGUCCCCCCUCCCUUUUUGCCAACCCCAGAGAGUUAAACUUGCUCCCUUCACUGGCCCCUGAGAAUUAAGUUUUAUUCCCUCACAUAGAAAAGUCAAGUUUAGGGAAAGUCUGCUGACUCCGUUGGCUCCCCUUCAAACCCUGAGCUGCUGAAGGCUGGUCCUCAUGGCAGUGAGGCAGAGGCCAACCUGACCCAGGACAGCAGAUUUUGGAGAGCACUUGACAUAAAUAUUCAUGAGGCUGAGACCAGGGAGGGUCUCCUUGCACCCAGAAUCCACUUUCAACAAGUUUAAAUAGACAAUUUGCCAGUGUCAUGUAUAUUACAGUACUUUUGGAGGAAGUAUCGAGAGACAAAGUGGAACAAAUCUGGAAUUCUGGAACAAAGGGCUGUAAAGUUUGGGGGGAAAAGAAGAAGGAUGUGCAUACUGAAAAAGAGAGCAAAUCUGCAGCCACCGUCACAGUAGACCACGCAAGCCGAGCAGCAUGAGCUUCGCAGGGAGAGAUUUGAUAAUACCACGAGAAGAUGACCUAACUCUGGCUGGAACAUUCCACAGUCAAGGACUUUAGUAUUUUGGCUAAAGAUCUUUUCAUUGUGGAGACAUCUUACAUUGACUGGCUAAGCCAUUGUUACUCAUGCCUGUCAGCUGACACAAUGGGAAUGUGUAUAUUUCACCCUUCUCGAGAGUCUUUCAACAAUUGUAAGGGUUAUGUCUAUCCCAGUUCUCCUCCAUUCUUCUUCUUCUUCUUUUGUGAUCUGUAUUUUGAAGGAUGGCUUUGAGCGAAAUCUUUAGUAUGAAAUCUUUAAUGUAAAAAUCUCAUCCUCUUUUAUUUUAAAUAAUUCAAUAUAUUUUAAAAUUAUGAUGCUUCUGCUUUAAGAAUGCUAUGGAAAUAAUUUAUUAAUAUGGAUUGUGUGGGAGUCACACUAUUGCACGCAAAUUGAUUUGUUCUAAUAAUACAUAUAUAUUUAUAAUAGAGUUUCACACUUAAUGAGAGGUUCUUUGUCUGUGAAACAAACUGACAGCAGAUUAAGGAGAAAAGGCAGACCAGUGUAUGUGAUACCGAAAGUUUUAUGUGGCACAGGGGCAAAGGGACACCUUGUAGAAAGAACAAAGAAGUCUCCAAGAUAAUGGCUAGGAUCAGAGGCUUUUAUGCCAAGAGUGAUAAUGUUCAAGGGGAUGAAAAGACAAAGAGAAAGAGUUUCUGGGCUUCGAGGGGAGGUGAGUUACAGCAAGGCUAACAUAUAGAAAAAUAACUGCAGGCCAGGUCAAGUUACUUGGAUGGAUCCUUUGUAUUGGCUCGUUGUGCCCUCUUGUCUCCCCUGAUGAGAAGAGGAUUUUGGAAACAUCCUCUCAAGGGAACCUGUGAUCUGUUUCCAGGCAGAUCCAGCGGGACAGCCUGUUUCUAUGAAUCACCAUCAACUGAAAAUAAUCCUUGUGCUAGAAUGUCAUAUUUUGGGGAUGGUGAGUUAGGAUAUACAAUGUCCUAAGCAAAACAGAGCUUGUGAUGCCAUGUGAAAACCACCUACUAGGCAGUGGGUUGGCAGUACCAAGGCAUGUGGGGAACACAGGCUCCCCACACUGUCACAUAGGGUGAGAGAGGAGAGCAUAGGGUGCUCACUCCAUCUAGCAUGAGAGACAGAGCUCUCUGAAAAGCAAUCCAGCAUGGAGCGGGCUCAAGGGUGAUUGUUGCCUCUGGUCUCUCCAGACAUCUAGGUCUAGUCUUUAGUACUAAUGGGUAAUUUAGGAAUAAGAGAAAAAGUCAUUGUCCUUCUUCAGUUCUUUUUCUUGUUUUUCAGAAUAGUGGAGGUGGAGGAGAAAUAAAUUGGUUUUGCUGGUAGCUUAUAAGCAGCACAGGAGGAAGACUAUUAGAGAGAAAAUGAAGACAAAUAAUAGCCUAGAUUUUAGAAACAUAAAUAAAAUUCCUUUGAUACUCA